GGGUGAGUAACACGUGGGCAACCUGCCUGUAAGAUCGGAAUAACCCCGGGAAACCGGGGCUAAUGCCGGGUAAUACUUUCUUUCGCAUGAAGGAAAGUUGAAAGAUGGCUUCUCGCUAUCACUUACAGAUGGGCCCGCGGCGCAUUAGCUAGUUGGUGAGGUAACGGCUCACCAAGGCGACGAUGCGUAGCCGACCUGAGAGGGUGAUCGGCCACACUGGGACUGAGACACGGCCCAGACUCCUACGGGAGGCAGCAGUAGGGAAUCUUCCGCAAUGGACGAAAGUCUGACGGAGCAACGCCGCGUGAACGAUGAAGGUCUUCGGAUCGUAAAGUUCUGUUGUUAGGGAAGAACAAGUACCGUGCGAAUAGAGCGGUACCUUGACGGUACCUAACGAGGAAGCCCCGGCUAACUACGUGCCAGCAGCCGCGGUAAUACGUAGGGGGCAAGCGUUGUCCGGAAUUAUUGGGCGUAAAGCGCGCGCAGGCGGUUCCUUAAGUCUGAUGUGAAAGCCCACGGCUCAACCGUGGAGGGUCAUUGGAAACUGGGGAACUUGAGGACAGAAGAGGAGAGUGGAAUUCCACGUGUAGCGGUGA
rnacentral:rRNA from 1 species